rnacentral:rRNA from 1 species
GACGAACGCUGGCGGCGCGCUUAAUACAUGCAAGUCGAACGGAAAGGCCUGCUUUCCCUUGUGGGUUGCGGGUGCUCGAGUGUCGAACGGGUGAGUAACACGUGAGUGAUCUGCCCCCAACUUUUGUAUAAGCCUGGGAAACUGGGUCUAAUUCCCGAUAGGACUGCAGUGUGGUGCGUGUGGUGGCAAACGAUUUUCUAGUGGUUGGGGAUGAGCUCGCGGCCUAUCAGCUGGUUGGUGGGGUAAUGGCCUACCAAUGCGGGGACGGGUAGCCGGCCUGGGAGAGUGGACGGGCACAGUGGGACGGAGAUACGGCGCAGACGACUACGCGCGGAAGCCGACGGGAAGAAUGCACGAUGGGCGGUAGCCUGAGGGAGCGAGGCCGCGUCGGGGAUGACGGGCUUGGGGUUGUAAACUCCUUUCGGCCGAGAGGAAGCCACCUGGUUGGAAGGUUAGUGACGGUAGUGGUAGAAGAAGCACCGGCUAACUACGUG